rnacentral:rRNA from 1 species
GACGAACGCUGGCGGCGUGCCUAAUACAUGCAAGUCGAACGCAGUGGGGACGGGUGAGUAACAAGUGGGUAACGUCGCAUCAGAGGGGAUAACCCUUGGAAACAGGUGCUAAACCGAUACUGAUGGAUGAACCCGCGGUGCAUUAGCUAGUGGGUGAGGUAACGGCGCACCAAGGCCACGAUGCAUAGCCGGCCUGAGAGGGUGAUCGGCCACACUGGGACUGAGACACGGUCCAGACUCCUACGGGAGGCAGCAGUAGGGAAUCUUCGGCAAUGGACGAAAGUCUGACCGAGCAACGCCGCGUGAGUGAAGAAGGUUUUCGGAUCGUAAAGCUCUUUUGUUAGGGAAGCGUUAUCUAACCAGAAAGCCACGGCUAACUCCGUGCCAGCAGCCGCGGUAAUUC